rnacentral:tRNA from 1 species
GCCUGGGUGGCUCAGUUGGUUAAGCGUCUGACCUCAGCUCAGGUCGUGAUCUCAUGGUUUGUGGGUUCGAGCCCCGUGUCGGGCU